GGUAAAGUGGCUGAGUAACAGGCGAUAAACUGUAAAUUUAUUCACGGGUACUUAACCCCUUUACCA
rnacentral:tRNA from 1 species